GUUGCAGCAGGGCCCAUUUCUGAUGCCAGAAAGACAUCUGAUUCUGGUGUUGAGAAGGCAAAAAGUCUCACUUUUGAUCCCUUUGAUCUGCCAAGUGAUGUUAGAUCACUUGCUCGAAUUGUUUAUUCUGCUCAUGGUGGUGAGAUUGCUAUUGCUUUUCUGCGGGGUGGAGUCCAUAUAUUCUCUGGUCCCAACUUUACACCUGUAGACAGCUAUCAGAUUAAUGUUGGAUCUGCAAUUGCCACUCCUGCUUUCUCUUCCACAAGCUGCUGCUCUGCUUCUGUUUGGCAUGACACUAGCAAGGACCGUACCAUAUUGAAGAUAAUCCGUGUUCUACCCCCUGCUGUUCCAAGUAGUCAGGUGAAGGCUAACUCAUCAACCUGGGAACGUGCAAUUGCUGAGAGGUUUUGGUGGAGCCUUUUGGUUGGAGUUGAUUGGUGGGAUGCUGUUGGCUGUACACAGAGUGCUGCUGAGGACAACAUUGUUUCACUGAACAGUGUCAUUGCGGUGUUGGAUGCGGAUUUUCAUUCUCUUCCAUCAACUCAGCAUCGGCAGCAGUAUGGUCCUAGUCUAGACAGGAUAAAAUGUAGGCUUCUGGAAGGUACAAAUGCUCAGGAGGUCAGGGCAAUGGUUUUAGACAUGCAAGCAAGGUUGCUACUUGAUAUGCUGGGCAAAGGCAUUGAAUCAGCUUUGAUAAAUCCUUCAAAUCUAGUGCCUGAGCCAUGGCUGGCUUCUGGAGAUAAAUUAUCUGGCAUUGAUCCUGAAGCAAUGGCUGUUGAACCAACCCUUGUUCCAAGUAUUCAGGCUUAUGUAGAUGCAAUUCUUGAUCUAGCUUCACAUUUUAUCACACGAUUACGGCGCUAUGCAAGUUUCUGUCGCACAUUAGCAAGUCAUGCAGUUACUGCUGGAACUGGAAGUAAUCGCAGUAUGGUGACGAGUCCUACCCAAAGUUCAGCAUCUCCUGCAACUAGUCAGGGUGGUCAAAAUGGUACUGCAAGUUCUACAGGAAGCACUCAGAUGCAAGCUUGGGUACAAGGUGCUAUUGCCAAGAUUAGUAGUGCAAGUGAUGGAGUGUCCAAUUCAACUCCAAACCCCAUCACUGGUCCAUCUUCCUUUAUGCCAAUAAGCAUCAAUACUGGAACUUUUCCUGGGACACCAGCUGUUAGGCUUAUUGGAGACUGCCAUUUCCUUCACAGAUUAUGUCAACUUUUGCUUUUCUGUUUUUUCUUUCGGCGAACUCAGCUACCUCGCUUUAUUGGAGGUGCACAGAAAAAUACGGAUACAAAUAUGCAAAAACCUCAGUCUGCUCCACCUGCAAAGGUUGAGGAGAGUAAUUCUGUUUCUUCUAAACCAGCUCCAACUAUGGUCAGAUCAGAUGAAGGCCAGGCUGCUGGAGGAGGUCAACUUGUGCCUGGAGCCAAGGGAGUUGAAGAUGGACCUGCUGGCCGGUCAAGACUGGGUUAUGGCAAUGCUGGUCAAGGAUACACUUUUGAAGAGGUGAAGGUCCUUUUCCUCAUACUCAUGGAUCUUUGUCGGCGAACAGUGGCUCUAGCACACCCAUUACCAGUUUCUCAAGUGGGAAGCAGCAGCAUCCAGGUGCGGCUGCAUUAUAUUGAUGGGAAUUAUACUGUAUUACCGGAGGUCGUAGAAGCAUCCCUUGGCCCACAUAUGCAGAACAUGCCCCGGCCUAGAGGUGCAGAUGCUGCUGGUCUGUUGCUGAGGGAAUUGGAACUCCACCCUCCAUCUGAAGAGUGGCACAGGCGGAAUAUGUUUGGUGGCCCCUGGUCUGACCCAGAGGAUAUGGGUUCUGCUGAUGAUACGCCAAGGAUGAGCAGUUAUACAGAUUCUCUUGAUUUCAGCUCAUCGGAAAAUUGUGAUGUUUAUUAUGGGGUUAAUGGCCUAUGGCCAAGGAAGCGCAGAAUGUCUGAAAGAGAUGCAGCUUUUGGCUUAAAUACUUCUGUUGGUCUGGGAGCAUACCUUGGGAUUAUGGGAUCUCGAAGAGAUGUUGUUACUGCAGUGUGGAAGACUGGUCUUGAAGGGGUCUGGUACAAGUGCAUAAGAUGCUUGCGGCAGACUUCAGCUUUUGCUUCAUCAGGGUCUGCAAAUUCACCUAAUCAAAAUGUCAGGGAAGCAUGGUGGAUUAGCCGUUGGGCCUAUGGCUGUCCUAUGUGCGGUGGAACAUGGGUUCGGGUUGUAUAGACGAGAUCACCAUACUUGGAAUUGCAUAUGACUGGCAUCACAAGAAGCAACAAGAAAUUAUAGCAUAGACAUCAUAAGAAGUCCUGCCUUGUGAAUUGUGCUCGGCCAUGCAGU
rnacentral:misc_RNA from 1 species